rnacentral:rRNA from 1 species
UACAGAGGGUGCAAGCGUUAAUCGGAAUUACUGGCGUAAAGCGUGCGUAGACGGUUAUGUAAGUCGGUGUGAAAGCCCGGCUCAACCUGGGAAUGCCAUUCGAGACUGCAUAGCUAGGUGCGGAAGAGGAAGCGAAUUUCCGGUGUAGCGGUGAAAUGCGUAGAUAUCGGAAGGAACACCAGUGGCGAAAGCGGCUUCCUGGUCCAGCACCGACGUUCAGG